rnacentral:misc_RNA from 1 species
GAUGAGUUUUUCAAAUUCCAAGAAAAGAAGAGCACUAUUCAUCCAAGUACUGAAAUCAAUUGAAUGUCAUCCUAUCAUAACACUAUUGAUCUUGCAAUUCUUUAAGUUCUACAGAAUAUAAAUGGCCUAUUACGCAGGCUUGAUGGGGUGCAAAGCAACUCAAUCUACUUGUGAGCUACGAGCAAUGCUGACUCGAAAUAUACCCUUAGUUUCACUCUCAAUUCCAAAAGUACAUUCAUCUCCAGGCUGAAUGUUAUUGGCCUGGCAGAAAUCUUCCCAUCCGCUCAUCAAAAGCUUCAAUUUAGGUGUUUCAUGGUAGAGCACUGGCCACUGCCUCAUGUCUGGGUCCUUGAGAAGCACCACUCUUCUUUCUUUUAUUGUUCUUCUCUUUUUAGAAGAUGAUGGCAAGGCUGCUGGCAAUUCAAGAAAAGGUCGCUUGUUGGCUGCAAUCAAACAAGAGACACUGCCUGCACUUGGUAAAAUUCUUGUGUUGGCAGCUUGGAGCUUCAUCACUCCAUCAACUUUAUCAUUGCUUCCCUUAGGUAAAAUAAAAAAUGGGUCAUCCUGCUCCAUUUUGAUUGCCUCUGGCUUCUUCCUUGAUUGUACCUUUUCUGUUCUCUCAUCAGUCUGGCAUCUCCUGUGUAUUCCAUUGGACCACUUAGAGUCGCUCCCUAAAUUCUUUUUUGGUUUCGGAGGUGACUUUGAAGCAAGCAAAGGCACACUAUUUAGUGAUCCUUUACAAUCUGAGCCAACUUCAUUUUUAGAAUUAAGAGAUGGAUCGGCAUUAUGAGAGGAUUUUUUAGCUCCUACUAGGAUUUUGUUGUUUCUAUCAAUGUCCAAGUUGUAUGUCAACAUUUCCAGACUAGAUAAGUCACAUAUUGCAGUUCGAUAUUCUGCUUCUUUGUCACCAACUUCUCUAUUGAUUAUGGAGAAUGGCUCUUCAAAGAAUUCUGCUUUAGAAACAGCUUGAGGCCUUGCAACCCCAUUUUCAUCAUUUGAAGUACCGCAUAUCGCCAUCUUAAUGUUUAUUGCAUCAUUUAUCUCGCAUUGACCUUGACUAAUUUCCACAUUUGAGUCAAAGAAAGCAGAAGAAUUUGAUCCCUGUCUGCCUAUUGAACCUUUAUCAGUUGAAUGGCAAGGGCCACAUUUUUUAGUAGACUUUCUAUCAGCUUUAGCUCUUUUUCUCUUCAGAUUUUUAUUCCCAGAAAAAUCUAGCUUUUCACACCCAGUUUUAUCAAAGAUCUGAACAACAAAGUGUGAUCCCAAAAUAUAGUGGAAUAUCACAAAGUCUCCAACUUCCAACCCGUGAUCAAAUGCAAAUGUAUCCCAUCCUUGAUGUAAAGCAAGAGAAUUUUCCAGGAUAGUUAAUUUUACUUUCCAUUGCAAUCCACUUGAAUCCUCAAGGGGGAUUUCUUUCUCAAUUAGUGUUGACACCGUAGGAGCAAAUUUAGGAGGUAAGAACAAAACUUCAGAAAACCUUUUCGUAAUCAUAACUUUAAAGAAAGAUGAAACAAGAGACGUUGAUUUUCUCCUCUUCACAUGACACAGUAAGCAUUUCUUCCUGCACUCUGCACAAGCUUCUACCAUGGAGCCCAUCCAACUGGAGAACUCUGGGUGAAGAGGUGGGACUGACGGGGAAACCCUUUGGAUAGAGAAAAA